rnacentral:rRNA from 1 species
GAUGAACGCUAGCGGCAGGCCUAACACAUGCAAGUCGAGGGGCAGCACAGAAACAGCAAUGUUUUGGUGGCGACCGGCGGACGGGUGCGUAACGCGUAUGCAACCUACCUUUAACAGGGGGAUAACGGAGAGAAAUUUCCACUAAUACCCCAUAACAUCCAUCAUGGCAUCUUGAUUGGUUGAAAACUCCGGUGGUUAAAGAUGGGCAUGCGUUGUAUUAGGUAGUUGGUGAGGUAAUGGCUCACCACGCCCACGGUACAUAGGGGGACUGAGGGGUUAGCCCCCCACACUGGUACUGAGACACGGACCAGACUCCUACGGGGAGCAGCAGUGAGGAAUAUUGGUAAAGGGGGGCAACCCUGAACCAGACAUGCCGCGUGCAGGAAGACGGCUCUAUGAGUUGUAAACUGCUUUUAAACAGGGAUAAAGCACAGUAUGUAUACUGUGUUGAAGGUACUGUAAGAAUAAGGAUCGGCUAACUCCGUGCCAACAGCAGCCGCAG